UACGAAGGGGGCUAGCGUUGCUCGGAAUUACUGGGCGUAAAGGGCGCGUAGACGGCUGGCCUAGUCAGGCGUGAAAUCCCAGGGCUCAACCUUGGGGCUGCGCUUGAUACGGGCCGGCUCGAGUGCGGGAGAGGGCCGCGGAAUUCCCAGUGUAGAGGUGAAAUUCGUAGAUAUUGGGAAGAACACCGGUGGCGAAGGCGGCGGCCUGGCCCGCGACUGACGUUGAGGCGCGACAGCGUGGGGAGCAAAC
rnacentral:rRNA from 1 species